GGUACUUAGUUCAUAAGGUGGCUGCGAGGAUUACGUGAAACUCAAGACAACUAGUGCCUAGUAUCCCGGAGAUACUGAACAGCUGGUAAGAUCUUUCCUGACCACUCCCUUCAGCAACCCUGUACGUCGGACAUGGCCCUUGCUGUAGCUGUUUUCCGGACGGAAGUGUUCACGGCUCCACAGAGCCCUGCCAGUGCCAUUCAGACCCAUCCCCAUCUGAGUCCCAGGAGCUAAACGCAUCUCGCAGCUGUGGUUCUCACUGGCUGACUCGCCCAGGAUUUGUCUUACAACCCUGUUCUAUUAAAUCAAGUUUCCUGGUGGGACGAAGAUAAGAAAUGUACUAGGAGAUGUAAGACACGUCAGAAAACAAGGCAGAGAGAUGUCAGAGUUCACGCGCCCUGAUACUCAAACAGUCACAGCAGGUAAAGGCUGAGUGCUCACUGUGCGCCUGCUGCUCUUCUAGGUGCGUUGUGCAUAUUAGCACCUUUCAACCUUACCAUCAUCGCCCGUGAGGCUUAUUACCCCAGUUUCACAAAUAUGACAACGACGGCACAGAGAAAUAAAGCAGCAGAAUCAAGAUGAAAUCAGGCCGUUGUGCCUCUUCGGGAGGCCCCCUACUCUACUCAGCUCCUCAGAGGUCCUCCUACCUGCACUCAGGAGCUAUCACCAGGCUUCUAAUUCAGUCAGGCAUGCC